GGUCUUUAGGGGGGGGAGUUUCAUUACUGUUUAGUCAUCUUAGAUUUCCCACAAAAAUAAAAACUUUGAAUUUGGGUAAAAACCCCUACACUUCAGCUACUAUAUAAACAUACUAAGAUUUUUCAAAAUAUACAGGCAGCAUGGACAAAACUGUAAAAUGUUUCUGUCAGUACAAAAAUUAGCAAGUGCCGUACUCGAAGUAUUUCAUCUAAUGUUUCAAUCAAUGGAAAUAAUCAACAUGCUGUAAUUUCUGCUUCACAAAACUGAAAGUUACCAACCUAAAUGGUUUUGAACUUAGACCUGGAAAACAUCCAUACAACAAGGGUGCUCCCACUGACUUGUACUGUGGUAUAGAUUCCAUGUUUCUCAUCUUUUGUGGCUUAGAAGUUCCCGAAAUUGAUUUGGUGAGGUGCUAGGCUUUGAAAAAUAAAGUUUCCUUCUCCUUGAGGAACAGAAGUCUUCAGAGAGACUGUAUGAGGGCCAAACAUAACUGGCUAAGCAACUGCUGAGUGCCUUGCUGCCUGCCUUUCCUCAGCACGGGGAAUGCGUCAGGAGCACAAAUGAGGCUGCCAUGAAGCUAUAGUACUUCUGGACAACAAUAGAAACAGAGAAUAUUAUGUGGAGAAGCAUCGAAGCCAUGGUCACAACUACUGCAGAUUUACAAUUAAAAGUGAAACUUAAUUGGCUGGUGUGUUCUCAUGUGAGGAUGAAAACAAUGCCUGGAUGUCCACAGGACAUCUGCCUUCUGGUAUAAAACUGUUAGCCCUGAUUGUAGAUGCCUGUCUCCCGACACAAUACAUAGAGACUCCCUGACACCUCAGAACUGAAUUAAUGAAAAUAUCAGAAGGAACACUCUGGAAAUAUCUACCUGAUCAGGCUCUUCGAGAAAAGCUCUGGUAGAAAAAGGCAUAGUUUAUGGGUCCUGAACAGGAUGUAUAUGCAAGCCAGGUGCUUUGCAACCUAGCCAGUGAAGACUGGUUCUGCAGGGCACGUGCAGGAGCAAUGCUCUAAAAGCAGAACACGUUAAUACUGAAAAAUGAGUUGGUGAAGAAGCUAAAGUGUCUUCAAGGCUGGUAUGAAUAGCAUAGUGGUUUCGGGAAUUGUAUUUAAGUCUGCAGCAGCCCUUUUCUGGCUCCACAGUAAAGGUACCUGAAUCUUCCCCACUGCAAAUUAAAUAUUUGAGUAUAGCUCUGCUGCCAUCUGUUGUCACCUCCCAGGGUUACCUUUUUGAUCACAGGGACCAAAAAGUUCCAAAAUACGUAUUUUAUUUCACUUCCAUUUUCCUUGUCUCUGACUGUCAAGACUAAACUUAACAAAAAUAAGGCCAGUAGCAAUUCUUAUUUCCAAAUCUACUGCUGUGUUUUAUUCCUUGAGGUUAUGCACACAUCAACAGAUUUGGUUGCUUGUAUUGUGGUUUACUGUGGAGCUACGUCCCCAAAUACAUCAAAUACUCUGACUUUAUUGCAUAACGCUUCACAAGAGCAUUUCUGUAUCACAGGAGGUGAACUGGAUUCUUUUACGUGAUGUCACAGAGCAAAGAAAUGAAAACAAACUUUUGGGGUAAGAAAUGUGGGUAAACUUUGGUCCCUUAGUAACUCUAAACAACUCAUCCUAAAUCACAGUUUUAAUCGUUUGCACUCAAGUGCCUAAAUGGUUAUGUUGGGCUGUGGAUUUUUAUUUGCACUUUGUAAACUUUAUUCAUGAACUUGUGGGUCUGAGAAUUCCCCCCACCCCACCCUUUUAUGACUCUUCUUGUCUACAGAAGAUGACUGAAGCAGUACUGUCUUGGCUGAUGCAUAAAUAUGGAAGUCAUCCACUGCUUGCUCCAACUCUUGAUACUCCUAAUAGGGAAUAGGAUGAGUCUCUAUACACUGUUAUAUUUUUGUUUCAUCUUGUGUAAAACUAUUCUGAGUUGUUUUAGGAUUAACUGGUUACUGUGUAUGUAGUGCUUUGAAAUGAUAAAGGAGUUGCUUAAGAACUAA